AUAAUGACUCUCGGCAACGGAWAUCUAGGCUCUCGCAUCGAUGAAGAACGUAGCGAAAUGCGAUACUUGGUGUGAAUUGCAGAAUCCCGUGAACCMUCGAGUUUUUGAACGCAAGUUGCGCCCGAAGCCAUUAGGCCGAGGGCACGUYUGCCUGGGCGUCACGC
rnacentral:rRNA from 1 species